UGGGGAAUCUUCCGCAAUGGGCGAAAGCCUGACGGAGCAACGCCGCGUGAAUGAAGAAGGCCUUCGGGUCGUAAAGUUCUGUCUUUAGGGACGAAUGGGUAUAUGCAAAUAGUGUAUGCUUUGACGGUACCUUAGGAGGAAGCUCCGGCUAACUACGUGCCAGCAGCCGCGGUAAUACGUAGGGAGCAAGCGUUGUCCGGAAUUACUGGGCGUAAAGGGCGCGUAGGCGGGAACUUAAGUCAGAUGUGAAAACUCCAGGCUCAACUUGGAGACUGCAUUUGAAACUGAGGUUCUUGAGGGCAGGAGAGGAAAGUGGAAUUCCUAGUGUAGCGGUGAAAUGCGUAGAUAUUAGGAGGAACACCAGUGGCGAAGGCGACUUUCUGGACUGUACCUGACGCUGAGGCGCGAAAGCGUGGGGAGCAAACG
rnacentral:rRNA from 1 species